AGCCAGCAGUGUCACCUGAGCUGUAUCUCUUGGGCAGAAAGAUCAGAAGGUACACGGGCCCUACAAACAUUUGGGAUCAUAUCUAAGAAAUCUGAAUUUAGUUGUCAGCUGGGGCCGCUGCUGGGAAAGGACA